rnacentral:rRNA from 1 species
UACGUAGGGGGCAAGCGUUGUCCGGAGUUACUGGGCGUAAAGCGCACGCAGGCGGUCUCUUAAGUUUGGAGUGACAGUUGGUGGCUUAACUGCCAAAGUGCUUCGAAAACUGAGAGACUUGAGGGCUUCAGAGGGACACGGAAUUCCGGGUGGAGUGGUGAAAUGCGUAGAGAUCCGGAGGAAUACCAAAGGCGAAGGCAGUGUCCUGGGGAGUACCUGACGCUCAGGUGCGAAAGCCAGGGGAGCGAACGGG